AAAAUGUAUUACAUCAGUUAAAAAUUAGAUAAAGUGUCUGACUGACAUUCUUUUAAACUUUUAAACUUAAAAUGGUCUUUUCUGUUCUGUGUUUCUUUUACAAAAUUGUGUCACGGCAUUUGCUGCUGUAUCAGUACAGAAGCAUCUGUUUCGAUACACUUAUCAGCAAGGAGCACAGCCCUAUUUAAAGCCUUGUUCCAUGUGCCCCUUUUAUAUUUUGAGCACGUGCCCCUCCAAAGGUCUCUGCACGGCCCUGUGAAUGUAGGCUAUUUAUAUGUCAUAUGCACAUUUGCAUUAUUUUUUAAUAAACUCAGUGCUCUUUAUAUACAAAUAUAUAGCCUAAUGUCAUGGUUUAUGUCAAAUGGUAAUGCAAGAUGAAUUUAUACAGUAUAUGACAGAAAAAAAACACUCCUUUGGUGUUAUAAUAAUUUGCUUAAUUAUACAGGUUUUAGUACACACGUUAUUUAAAACACACACACACACAAACACACACACACACACACACACACUGGUAUUCCUGUCAUUAUGGGGACAUUCCGUAGGCAUUAUGGUUUUUAUACUGUACAAACUGUAUUAUCUAUCCCCUUACCCUCAACCUACCCCUCACACAAAACUUAAUGCAUAUUUACAAGAGAGGUUGACCUAUGGCUGUACCACACUGGCCAAUACCGAUUAAUCAACCGAUAGUUGAUGUUGUUUUUUUGUUUUUUUGUUUUUUUAGUGCUUUAUUAUUGCUUUGCUACUCUCCUAUUAAAAAACAGGACCCAUAUUUUGUAAAUAAAUACAAAAAUUUAUAUUAAAUAUUAAUUACAUAUUGAUCAUUGGAGUUAUAGUUCAUAGUUCAUUAAUUUAUGUUAACUUUAAAAAUGUAAAAUGUAUUAGUAAAUGUUGAAAUUAACACACUCUAACAAGUAAAGUGUUACCAUUUCAUAUAAACAGAUGGCCAUCCAUAUCUACACAAUGCUAUAUUGAAAUUGCAAAGGGUGAAUUAAGGGUGAUUAGGACAUACGAUCAAAUGGGACAGAAUAACUAUACAGAAUUUAUUUUCUCACCUAAUGAGUGAAAAUAAAAACUUUUUUUGCUGAGCCCUAGCUGUAAGACCAAAUAAUUAACGUGGGAUGCCCCCAUUGGUGUGACAUCAUGUAGGUGGGCGGGGCAGGCAUCAAACAUGAAGUUGAACGUGAAAUGCAUGAAAUGUGGAAAAUUACAUAAGCUUUUGCUAGCUUUCAUAAUAAGGUCUUAAAAUUGUCAUAGCUACUAUAUUAUAAAAAACUUUUGAUGAAAACGAUAGGGACUUUGUGUUCCUAUCACCUAAAUGUUAAUACAUUACCAAAAUGUAUUUAUUUAUUUAUAUUGGCUCAGUUUAAAAAAAAAAAAAAAAGUGUAUGUCACACAUCCUUUCAUUAUAACAUAACAUUGUUUCCUCCUUAAAUGGGUAGUUAACAUCUUCAGUAUUACAGAAAUGUAUCAUGUGUUGGGCUGAUGUUUUUAAUUUAUGGCAAGAAACAUUGCCCAAUAUGCAACGACUAUACCCCAUGCUUCCAGCGAGAGCCAAACAGUACGCACAAUAGUCAGGGCCACAUUAAGACCUCACUGGGCCCCAGGGCUAGGGCUUACUGCAGCCCCCGUAUAUAUUGUAGUCAAUGGGGACCAGAAACUUUCUGGUUACAAACUGUCUUCAAAAUAUCUUCUUUUAUCUUGAGGAGAACAUAAAAAUUCAUACAGGUUUAAAACAACUUGAGACUGAGUAAAUGAUGACAGUAGGUGGCUGAACUAUCCCUUUAAGAUCUUAUCUAUGCCAGGAUCACAUAUAGCCUACUACUACUCAUGUUAUCUUUAACUACUAACGUUCAUUUAAGACACAAAUGACUGUUUAUGAGUAUACUCGCAAAGAUGGGCAUUUUGGUGCACAACUAUGUGUAUUUGAACGUUUAAGCACAAGGUGCAAAAAAUAACUAUCAGGGUGAAACCGUCUUAUCGCGCGCGCUGCGCUACCAAAAUGAAUUCUGCUCCUCUGCUUAAUGUCCCUGAACAGUGUAAAAUGUUAAAGGAUAAGCUUACAUCAUGACACACAAAAUGACUGACAUAUUUCUACCAAGUUAUCUCCCAACCCUUGAGUGAAUAUGUAGGCCCAAUCCCAAUUUUUCCCCUUAGCCCUUCCCCUUUCCCCUACCCCUCCGGCCAGACAGCCCUUCAAAUGAAGAUUUUUCAGGACCACACUCCAAACGAAGGGGUAUGAAUUAUCUUGGCAACAUGGCUGCCUGAGCGAACAAAAAGACACAUAAAUGUAAGAAAAAUUUUGCCAUUAAUAAAGAUUUUAACGAAAAGUAAUCAUUUGUUUUAUGUUACAUUCAAUCGUGAGUUCAUAUUAACGGUCAUGUUACUCAGAGAAAUGUUUGCAAAACAUCGCAAAUAUUGGCUAACGUCAUAUCAUUAUAGAAUGUACAAUAGUACCACAACAUAUUUUCUUGUCUGAUCAGGGCGAUAACCACAGUAGACAUUGAGGGGGCUAGUCCCCCCAAUAAUUAGAAAUCGCUAAACCCUGUUCUCAAAUAUUGAGAGAGAGAGAGAGAGAGAGAGAGAGAGUGAGAGAAAUUUGAGAGAGUGAGAGAGUGGAAUUUGCAUGUAUGCGUGUCUGUGUGUUUCUCUUUUUAGAGUGAGUUUACUUAAAAACAGUGAUUUUAUCCUCUUGUUGCUGGAAAAUAUAAUGUAGCGAUUCCGUAUUUAAGCUGUAUUUAAUAAAAGUCGUGGGGCAGUGUUGACAAGUUUCUUUUCUCCUAGAUGUGUGAGCUGCGCGAUUUCCGAAAUGUGUGUGUCAGUAAGCAGCGCAUUAAUACAGAACGGUAAUUAAAGGCUCUAAUGCACACCAGCACACCAGUAUAUGUGUGUAUUGUAGGAGCUAGACUACGUAUGACGACGUCCGACGGCAUAGUAGUGGUGUCCCAAUUCUUAGGGGAAUAUUUUUACCCCUAACCCUUAACACUCAGUUUCAAGGGACAAGGGGAAGGGGUAGGCAGAGGGGUAGGGGAAGGGGAAGGGGUAUAAAAUAGAAUUGGAAUUUGGCCGGAUAGUUUGUUCAAACACAAAACUCAAUAGGCCUAUACAUCCAUCAAGUUAAUAGUCAAACUAACCUAAAAUCUUGAUUGUUGAAUAUAUAUCCGUAGGUGAAAAUAUGAUCUAUAUAAAUGAUUUAUAAAUAAAUCUUAAUCUGUAUUGUAUGAACAAAAUUUAUAACAUAUUUAUAACCCUUAAGAUCCAUAAAGUACAUACAUUUGCUACAGACAAAAUACAUAGCCUACAAUUAUUACACGGCUCUGUGGAAUACUUGAUUCUGAUUGGUCAAUCGCGCCAUCCAGUGGUUUGUUAUUCCAAGAUAACAACUACCAUAUUGACCCUGCGUUCCAUUCGGAAGGGCUCAUCUCUAUGCCCUAAUCCCUUCAAAGGGUUUACCCUCUGGAGUGAGAGCUUUGGAGGGUUGAAGGGUUGUGUUGGACCAAACAACUGUUUCUUAAAGUGCCCUUCUGCGUCAUCAUCACGUGCCCACAUGUACCCACCGUCAUCAUGGAAAGAAUCUGCGCAAAGGAUCAUGGGAGGCCGAAUUGUCCAUCAGUUGUAUUCUUCAAAAUCCUUCAUUCCGAAGGGCCCUUUGAAGUGGGCCAUUUUGAGCACUUUGGUUUAGAACGACCCUUCAAUAUGGCGGCCAAGAUUGUUUUCAUGAAGUGCCCUUCAGAGGCCGAAAUGUCCCGUUUGGAACGCACUGACAAUAACACACCGCUUAUCUGGGUUCUACGAGUUAUCUUGACCGGUACUACUUAUGCUUAAUGAGUCACUCCGCUAUCAUUGACUGUCUGGCACCAUCUUGUAACUGUAAAAAACGUAACCACCGCGUGUUACAAUGGAAGACAUUAAUUUCAACAUAUAUGGUAAAAACAAAUAUUUUUAGCCGUGUAAUAAGCGGCCUGUCUCAGAAUAAACCCCUUCAGGCUGAUACAAGACCCCUCCGCUUCGCGUCGGUGUCCUGAUCACCCUGUCGGGUUUAUUCUGAAAUGACAACUGGCUGGAUGUACAUUAUCCCUUAUUUAUAAAGUAUGAGGGAAAAAAUGUUCAAACAAACAAAAUGCAACAGUGUGCAGCUGUGGCACAGGCCUAAUAAACUGCAACCCUCCAUGACUCUCCUUUCCCUCAACUAUAAUGAACAGCCCUCAUUAUAGCCUGUCCCUCUUCCCCUAUAAUAAACCAUCCAUAAAAAGUUUUUCAGAAUAGCAAAACCACACAGAAAUAAAACGGAUCCUAUCAAAACAAUCUAAUGGUGCGAACAACCUUGUAAAUCUUUACAGGAAUGGACUGUUUUAACUUGGCUAAUGGAUGUGUAAAACUAUAACAACCCCAUCAGCUUUUUGUGAAUCUCAAUCUUUCCAGCUUGACCUUCCAGUCUUGCUUCCCCUUACUUCCUGUUUUCUUCUUAGUGUUCCAAAUAUGACUCGAUCACACACCUGUGAAAGGAAAUUUUAUAUCAGCCAAGCUUCAAAAGCACUGAAACACACGAAAAAAAAACAUGCAAUUCUCCCACAUUCUCCUAGCAGUGAGCGUGUGGUUUGUCAUUUGAAUAAUCUCUGAAAUCUAAAGGAUUGUCAGUCUUUAUAGCAAAACAGUUAUGUGGUAAAAAAAAUGUAAAAGCUGAAGUGCACAGACAGCUGCAAAAUUGUGUUUUCUACAACACCAUCACAGAAUUCUGCAGAAAAAAAAAAAACAACAACCAUUAUUUCCUGUGAAAGCUACCGUGCAAAAUCUUUGUUGGGGGGGCAUGUAAGUGAGGGGGAUUCGUGUGAAGCUUAUGGGCCUCAUCGUCUCUGUUUCCUGUUAUGCAACAGUUUCUGAAGAAACUCAAUGCAAAAAAUAAAAUAUUUUUACUGACGGUCUGUGAGGUGCAUGUUUAAAUAUGCAGACAGCGUAUUAUAGGACCAGCACUUUGUAAUUGAGAAUUAGGCAAGAAACACUUUGAAGGGUAGUGGCAUAACCAUAAAAUGCCUAAAAUUUCUAGAUUAAAUAUCUAAAUGAUAGUUUUGUCAACUUUUAGGAGUACUGUAACAUAUUAGAUGGACUCAAAACAGACAUGAAGUGUGUCUCAUUUUGAAGGCUGCAGCCUCUGGAGGUCGCAUUUGUUGGCCACAUUUCAGAAAAGUAACCGUUUCAUUGCAAAGAAAGAAAUGUCAGAUUUCCGAUAAUUUACUCAGCACAAAGAAUAACAGAUCAUUUUAUAACUGUUACUUGCAGAGUGACUUUAUUUCUCACUAGUGUGGCUUUAUACUUUAGAAUUUGACUUUAUUAUAAACAGGCUUCAAAAGAUUGAGGUCAGUAAAAUCUUCGAAUGUUUUUUUUUUUUUUUUGGAAAGUCUUGUAUACUCACAGAAGCUGCAUUUAUUUAAUCAAAAAUACAGUACGAACUGUAAUAGUGUGAAAUAUUAUUAAAGUGUAGAGUAACUUUUAGUUUUCUAUUUUAUUAUAUUUUAAAAUGUAAUUUGUUCCUGUGACGACAAAGCUGUAUUUUCAGCAGCAAUUCCUCCAGUCUUCAGUGUCACAUGAUCCUUCAGAAUCAGAAUUUAUUCUAAUAUGCUGAGUUGCUGCUCAAGAAACAUUUCUUAUUAUUAUCAAUGUUGAAAACAGUUGCAAAACGGAUAACAACUCUGUGGAAAAUGUAAUAUGUUUUUCAGGAUUCUCUGAUGAAUAAUAUAAACAGCAUUUAUUUGAAAUAGAAAUGUUUUACAAAUGUCUUUACUGUCACUUUUGAUCUAAAUAUAAGUAAUGAUUUCUUUAAAAAAAAUAAUAAACACUUAAUGGCCCCAAAUUUUUGAACAGUAAUUUAAAAUGGUCUGAAUAUCAAGUGAGCAAGCACUAAUUUAAUUUGUUUGAUGUUUGUGUGAAAAAUACAGUGCAGUUUGUUUCCUGGAAAUCUUUGUGGGUCUUUGAUUGACUGAUUGGGACUGAUAUUAUACUCACCCCCACAGUUAUAAUGCAAAGAAUGACUUUGGUCACGCUGAUAAAAGAAAAGCCAAUGACAGCCCAGGGAACAGUUAAUUCUGCUACAGUAGGACAAGAAUCAGAAGGGGUCAUGGUGUUGAUGGGAUAAACUGUGCUCACAUUUAAACAUUCUGAAAAUUAAGAAAAACAUUAUGUGUUUAAUGGGAUACUUAGUUUUCUGAGAUCAUGCAUGGAAUUAUAAAUAUAUUAAGAGGUUUAAUCAUAGGUAUGCACUUUAAGAUGCUAGAGUAGUUUUGAUGACACUAACAUAAAGAAUAUUAAUAUCCAACAGAUUUUAUGGAGAAUGAACUAGAAUGACCGGGAUCUAAAUUACCUGAGAUAUUCAAUCCAAUUAAAGAAUGGUCAUUUCGACCUCCAACCUCUGCAGCCAGGUAGCAUUUAUAUUCUCCAGAGUCUGAAGACUGCACAUUAUGUAACACCAGGGUCUCUUUAUUUUCCAGAGAAACAGAUGUUAUGUUAUUAUAGUAUGUAUAUUCUUCUUUUUUCCUCUUGAUGAUAGGAAAACUCUAGAAAAGAAAGACAUGGAUUUGUUAGGGGAUUUUGUUGUGGUGCGGUGUUUUCUGGUUGGACAGACCAACCAGGUCAAAUGACGAAAGGUAUGCCUCUGAGGUGCAGAGGAUGCUACUUAUCAAAAGAAAUGCUUUGUUUGCUGGCUAACCAUCACUUUGCAUGCAGAUUUCUUUUUUUUUUUUUACUUUCAAAAUCCUUUACACAAAGAAAAUAAAACUGAAACUGCACAACCAUUGCAAUAAUGUCAUUUAAGUCAAUCAGUUACAACAAAGGUAGCUCACCUCUUUUUUAUACCACAUUACGUAACGGUAAGUGCUAGUUCGGUCAGUAGCUUUACAAGGAAGUCUGAUGGUAUCAUUACAGUUACCCGUAAUAAAGUCCAUGUCUUUUGAUGUCCCACAGUGCAAUGCUGUCAUUGCAAACAAUAGCAAUUCUGCAAAGAGAAACACAUAAUGAAAAGUAAAUGUUAAUCUAAAAGUGCAUAUUACAUAUACACAAUCUAUCUAUUUAAAUAAUAAUUCACAUGAACAAAAAUGCUCUGUUUUAAAGUAUUGGGGUGAAAAAACGGCUCCCUAAUGUGGCAUUCAGCACUUACAUAUUUUUUUUUUAUAUUCGCUGUCAUCAAAGCAAUACUGUAUAUCAUUCAGUUCAGGUUGAAACUGGCACUAUUUUCAUGUCUCUCAUAUCAUAGCAUGAAGUCAGUUUUUUUUUUUUUUUUUUUUUUACAUGCAACUGGCACAACUUUGUGAAUGUGUUAUCAAUUGUAGUACAAUUUAAUGGAUAGUUCACCCAAAAAUGAAAAUUUGUUAUCAUUUGCUCACCCCCAAGAAGAAUCUUGGUAACCAAACAGUUGAUGGAACCACAUUGACUUCCAUAGUAUAUUACACUUUGUGGAAGUUAAUGUGAAAGUCAAAGUCAACUAGCAGCUGUUUGGUUACCAACAUUAUUCAAGUGUUCAACAGAAGAAAAAAUGGUGAAUAAAGAUGUGAUUAGUGAACUAUCCCUUUAACAUUACUAUAAUAUUUUGUUGCAGUCUUUGUUGAAAUGUCCAGCUGACUGCAUUAUCCCUUAUAUUGAUACAGCAAGGAUGAUGUAGGCAUAUAAUUUUGUUGACUAUAUGAUUCUAAUUUUAAAUUAUUGUCCCAGCACAUGUUAAAACUUUUACCUUAUGUUCUAUUUUCAACCUUACACUAUAUCUUAGCAGUCAAUAGAGACAACACACACAAAAAAUGCAUAGGCUGGAGUCAAAUGAGGUAUUAAUAUAAUAAAUCACCUACAACAGUGCAUACUGUAGGUCAAACAAGAAAAAAUAUUAGUGUUCUAGUGAUUUAGACAAUAAUAUUCAUAAAAAGAUGGAUUUUUAUUUUAAGUAUAGUUGUAUAUAUAGUAUUUAAAAGCUUUAAAUUACCAUGCAACAUCAUUCACAGACCCGAAAGCUUGUUCAAAAUAAUGAUAUUUGAAGAAAAAGAGCAGGAGUGCAGAUUGUCUUGAACUCUAUCCUCAAACUCAUUUGUCUAUUUAAAAGAACAGAGAAGUUACGAAAAGAGAAGAAGACUAAAGUGAAUGAAAAUA
ensembl:lncRNA